UUUUUUUUCUUCCUAAAAAAUAGAUAAUUGAGCACUGUAGUGGUUAUGACCAUAUCAGUAACUAUGUAACUACAUGGAAACGGACCAAAUUAUGU